ACCCGACUGCUAUCGGAGUGAGACUAAGCCAUGCAAGUCGUGCGCCCCGGGCUGGCGGGGCGCGGCGUACGGCUCAGUAGCACGUGGUCAACCUACCCUGCGGACGGCUAUAACCCCGGGAAACUGGGGCUAAUAGCCGAUAGGGGAUGGGUGCUGGAAGGCCCUGUCCCCGAAAGGCCCAACCACCCAUGCCGUGGUUGGGCGCCGCAGGAUGGGACUGCGCCCUAUCAGGUAGACGGUGGGGUAACGGCCCACCGUGCCUGUAACGGGUGCGGGCCCUGGGAGGGGGAGCCCGGAGAUGGGCACUGAGACAAGGGCCCAGGCCCUACGGGGCGCAGCAGGCGCGAAAACUCCGCUAUGCGCGAAAGCGCGACGGGGUCACUCCGAGUGCCACCCGCUGAGGGUGGCUUUUGCCCAGUCCAAAAGGCUGGGCGAAUAAGGGGAGGGCAAGUUUGGUGUCAGCCGCCGCGGUAAUACCAACUCCCCGAGUGGUCGGGACGGUUAUUGGGCUUAAAGCGUCCGUAGCCGGCCCGGUGUGUCUCUGGUCAAAUCCGGCGUCUCAAGCGCCGGACCGCCGGAGAUACUACCGGGCUAGGGAGCGGGAGAGGCGGGCGGUAUUCCCUGGGUAGGGGUAAAAUCCUAAGAUCCAGGGAGGACCAUCGGUGGCGAAGGCGGCCCGCUAGAACGCGUCCGACGGUGAGGGACGAAAGCUGGGGAGCGAUCCGGAUUAGAUACCCGGGUAGUCCCAGCCGUAAACGAUGCAGGCUAGGUGUGUGGACGCCUUAGGGGCGUCCAUGUGCCGAAGGGAAACCGUUAAGCCUGCCGCCUGGGGAGUACGGCCGCAAGGCUGAAACU
rnacentral:rRNA from 1 species